GCCACCCGCAGUGCCAGUAAGACUGCCGUGUUGGUCGUGUGUGUUGUCCAUGUUGAUUUAUUUUUAUUUUUAUUUAUUUAUUUAUUUUUUUGCUUUCCGCAAACAAUUAUUCUAGGCCAAGCUGAAGCAAGACCGUCAAGGCUCCAUCCGAAACGUGUCCUCAGCAUCCCAACACUGCAGGACAAAUCCGUCACGAUUCUGCGAUAAAGAAAAUGGCCUGGAGUUGUCUUGGUAAAGAUCUCGUUGGAUGAGCUGUUGUGGAGCUAUUUUCAAGAGCCUCCAGGAAUGAUGAGGUAAUGGAGAAGGCUCGAUGGAACUGAGGAUGAAGAGGAACCAUCAUCUUUACUGUCCUACAUUCCUGAUGGUGAUAAAGUAUGGAAUUGAAAAACCCAGGUUUGAUUUCAAGAUGAACAGAGGAAACGGACAGACCAUGAAUCUAGAGAGAUCUUGGUUUUAGAUGGGGCAAGAAAGUGCAUCACCAGCACUUUCUGCUUAGGUGUGAUGAUGGGUGCCCUCCCUAGCUCACCGCUGGAUAGGACAACGUGAGGCUCCAGUAGCAUAAGAAACUGUCCUCUGAUCACCAAUUGGACCAGCAGCCUCUGGACGCCCUAGCACACUACUGAGGAGGACAAUGAAAGCAUUUCGCAGAAGAAACCGUGGUCUGGAUUCGACAGCUUCUUGGGAUGCUUGCUGAUGAAGAAAGUGGUCACCAAAUGGCAAGAAAUAUAUAUCUAAAAGUUGUAAAAGAAAAAAAAUAAUUGUAAAAAAAAGUUUGAAAUGUACCCAAAACUGAGAAUAGCGAUAAAAAUGUAAAAUUAAUUGUUAAAAAAAUCCGAGAAUGUACCAAAAAACUACAUUUUGCUAUAAAAAUGUAAAAAAAUACUGCGAGAAAUCCCUAAAAAAGGGUAAAAAUGUACCUAAAAAACUGUAUAAGUCGAAAAUACUCCGAAGACCGUCCGGAGAUUCUGUUGAAGAGAAUUUGUAACUUAUGAAAUAAAAGACUUUGUGGGAA